rnacentral:rRNA from 1 species
GAUGAACGCUGGCGGCGUGCCUAAUACAUGCAAGUCGAGCGAAUGGAUUAAGAGCUUGCUCUUAUGAAGUUAGCGGCGGACGGGUGGGUAACACGUGGGUAACCUGCCCAUAGGACUGGGAUAACUCCGGGAAACCGGGGCUAAUACCGGAUAACAUUUUGAACCGCAUGGUUCGAAAUUGAAAGGCGGCUUCAGCUGUCACUUAUGGAUGGACCCGCGUCGCAUUAGCUAGUUGGUGAGGUAACGGCUCACCAAGGCAACGAUGCGUAGCCGACCUGAGAGGUGGAUCGGCCACACUGGGACUGAGACACAGCCCAGACUCCUACGGGAGGCAGCAGUAGGGAAUCUUCCGCAAUGGACGAAAGUCUGACGGAGCAACGCCGCGUGAGUGAUGAAGGCUUUCGGGUCGUAAAACUCUGUUGUUAGGGAAGAACAAGUGCUAGUUGAAUAAGCUGGCACCUUGACGGUACCUAACCAGAAAGCCACGGCUAACUACGUGCCAGCAGCCGCCGUAA